GGCGGCGUGCUUAACACAUGCAAGUCGAACGCGAAAGGGUCUUCGGGACUGAGUAGAGUGGCGCACGGGUGAGUAACGCGUAGAUAACCUGUCUUGAUGUCUGGAAUAACCAGCCGAAAGGCUGACUAAUACCGGAUNGACUCGCUUAUUAUAAGGAUUGUGAGUAAAGGUGGCCUCUGAUAUNAAGCUAUCGCAUUAAGAGGGGUCUGCGUACCAUUAGCUUGUAGGUGGGGUAAUAGCCUACCUAGGCAACGAUGGUUAGCGGGUCUGAGAGGAUGAUCCGCCACACUGGCACUGGAACACGGGCCAGACUCCUACGGGAGGCGGGAGUGAGGAAUAUUGCGCAAUGGGGGCAACCCUGCCGCAGCGACGCCGCGUGAGUGAGGAAGGCCUUCGGGUCGUAAAGCUCUGUCAAGAGGAAAGAAGUGCAUAUUAGUUAAUACCUGCUAUGUUUGACGGUACCUCUAAAGGAAGCACCGGCUAACUCCGUGCCAGCAGACGCGGUAAUACGGAGGGUGCAAGCGUUGUUCGGAAUCACUGGGCGUAAAGGGCGCGCAGGCGGCCUGAUAAGUCAGAUGUGAAAGCCCACGGCUUAACCGUGGAAGUGCAUUUGAAACUGUCAGGCUUGAGUACAAGAGGGGAAAGUGGAAUUCCCGGUGUAGAGGUGAAAUUUGUAGAUAUCGGGAGGAAUACCGGUGGCGAAGGCGACUUUCUGGCUGA
rnacentral:rRNA from 1 species